GGGGAAUCUUGCGCAAUGGGCGGAAGCCUGACGCAGCGACGCCGCGUGCGGGAGGAAGGCCCUCGGGUCGUAAACCGCUUUCAGCAGGGACGAGGCCGCAAGGUGACGGUACCUGCAGAAGAAGCCCCGGCUAACUACGUGCCAGCAGCCGCGGUAAUACGUAGGGGGCGAGCGUUAUCCGGAUUCAUUGGGCGUAAAGCGCUCGUAGGCGGCCUGCUAGGUCGGGAGUCAAAUGCGGGGGCCCAACCCCCGGCCGCUCCCGAUACCGGCGGGCUUGAGUUUGGUAGGGGAAGGCGGAAUUCCCGGUGUAGCGGUGGAAUGCGCAGAUAUCGGGAAGAACACCGGUGGCGAAGGCGGCCUUCUGGGCCACAACUGACGCUGAGGAGCGAAAGCUGGGGGAGCGAAC
rnacentral:rRNA from 1 species